UUUGCAAGCGUCGUUGACGCGUUAAAUAUUCACGAACCAAAUUCGAACGUUCCGAAAGAUAACGAACGCACUUAAUCAAGCGUCGAUUGCCAUUGUCAUAUUACCGCAUUCUAAACGGCUGGUCUUACAUGUGUACUCACCUCCCCAGAAAUUCGCCGUUUUCGACCGCUCGCAUCCACGAAUAAAUUCCGGCCGAUCCCGUGUAAGCCGCUAUAUCUACUUUGAAUCAUCACACCCAUCGAUUUUGGAUGUCGGAAGCUGCCGGCAGGCUCAGCGACCGCGAGCGACGUAAGAUCAAGUUCAAGAUCGAAGAUCAGCGCGAAGGUCGUUAGGAAGAGGCAGCGGGGAAUUCCUCCACGGGAGUAGGCGCUGUCGACUAAUCCGUGCGUAGGAAGGAGCAUCCUUUUCGAGAGGAGGAGAGAAAAAGACCAGCAGGAUUCUGCGUCGCGGUGUACACCGCGCGCCGACGCCAGAAGUGGUCGAACUCAACGGUUAACUGUGUCUUGAUCGUAAAGUCGCCUGACAUGACCGAAACCAGAUUCGAGGACCAUAUGAGUUUCCUUAUUGCCUCCGGGCCAGCACGACGCUUCCACGGAAAUCUCACGGUUGCGCAGCCUGUAGCAACUGCGUAAACGCGCGUAAAUGGCGUUUCGCUAGGGAAAUAUACGCGGAGGAACUCUAAAAGUGUGGUAAAUUCUGUCGAAGGAGAUUUACAGCUCGUAGUUGUGGGAGAUACAAACGCCAUUAGAUGCACGAAUCGGAGGAAAUACAAGCAACCGACAAUAAAUCAAUACAUUUACCUCCUCUCUCGCUCAACCGUCGCCAUUCGAAGGAUCUUGUGGCUGGAGGAGGCUCUCCUUUGAAACCGCAAGAUUUCUCGACUCCUUUGGUCCUGUAGAACUGUCUCUCGCCCUGCAAACAUGAAAGGUAAAUGGAAUAGGAGAGAAUAUAAUG